UCCGAGUUGACCCCGGCAGUCUCCUAUGAGUCCCCACCAUUACGUGCUGGCAACAUAGAACAAGGGUUGCGCUCGUUGCGGGACUUAACCCAACAUCUCACGACACGAGCUGACGACAGCCAUGCACCACCUGUACACCGACCUUGCGGGGCGCCUAUCUCUAGACGUUUCCGGUGUAUGUCAAACCCAGGUAAGGUUCUUCGCGUUGCAUCGAAUUAAUCCACAUGCUCCGCCGCUUGUGCGGGCCCCCGUCAAUUCCUUUGAGUUUCAUUCUUGCGAACGUACUCCCCAGGUGGGUUACUUAUCACUUUCGCUUAGCCACUCAGUCUUACGACCAAACAGCUAGUAACCAUCGUUUACGGCGUAGACUAC
rnacentral:misc_RNA from 1 species